rnacentral:rRNA from 1 species
ACGGAAGGCAGCAGUGGGGAAUAUUGCACAAUGGGCGCAAGCCUGAUGCAGCGACGCCGCGUGAAGGAUGAAGGUCUUCGGAUUGUAAACUUCUAUCAGCAGGGAAGAAAAGAAACUUAAGUUUCUACAGUGACGGUACCUGACUAAGAAGCUCCGGCUAACUACGUGCCAGCAGCCGCGGUAAUACGUAGGGAGCAAGCGUUAUCCGGAUUUACUGGGUGUAAAGGGUGCGUAGGCGGCCUGGCAAGUUAGAAGUGAAAUUUAGGGGCUCAACCCCUGAGCUGCUUCUAAAACUACCGGGCUAGAGUGCAGGAGAGGAAAGCGGAACGCCACGUGUAGCGGUGAAAUGCGUAGAGAUGUGGAGGAACACCAGUAGCGAAGGCGGCUUUCUGGACUGUAACUGACGCUGAGGCACGAAAGCGUGGGGAGCAAACAGGAUUAGAUACCCUGGUA